ACUGUGAAAGGAAAUAAGUCUUGGGAUCCCAAAAUCACUAAGCCAAAGGGAAGAGUCAAGCUGGGAACUGCCUGAGGCAAAUAGCCUCCCAUUUGAUUCCUAAAUAAGAUAGCUACAAGAAUUAAAAAGCUACUAACCUCCCUCACAAUUUGCCCACAAGGAACUUCCUUGGGGGCCUCAAGAUUUUUCCCCUGAAACAGUUGAAUUUCACCCUGGCUAAGUAAAAUAAUAGCUUAUCUUCACAGGUACAGGACAAAGGAUAGAACUCAAAGUUAUCCCUCUGUUCACCUGAGACAAAUGCAUCUCUGAUUGCUUCCUCUGCUCUACUGUUUAUGUCAAAAUGUAGAUUCACUGAGCCAGACUAAGACAUAAGUGACUAUUUCUGUACACCACUUCACAUGUGAAUUAUAUAUUCAGAGAAAGGCUAAUCAAAAACUCAAAAGAAUGCAACCAUUUUUUUAUCUACCUAUGCCCUGAAAGCCCCCCUUUCAAGUUGUCCCACCUUUCCAGACUAAACCAAUGUACAUUUUACAUGUAUUGAUCUAUGUCUCAUGUCUCCCUAAAAUGUAUAAAACCAAGCUGUAUCCUAACCACCUUGGGCACGUGUCAUCAGGACCUCCUGAGACUGUGCCACAGGCAUGUCCUUAACCUUGACAAAAUAAAUUUUCUAAAUUGAUAGAGAUCUGUCUCAAAUACUUUUGGUUCACAUAACAGAUACCUGAAAAUGUGAAUGUGGCUUUGGAACUGAAUAAUGGGUAGUAGGUAGAACAGUUUUGAAGUGAAUGCUGGAAAAAGCCUAUGUUGUCAAGAGUUGAGCCUUACUGGUAAUUCUGGUGAAUUGCUUUUUAAUAGCUCAGAAGAGAGCUGUGGUGAAGUCUGAAACUUCUUAGAGGUUAUUUAACUGUUCAUGAUCAGAAUAUAGAUAGAAAUGUGAACAGUAAUAGCAAUUCUAAUAAACUCUCAGAAAUGAGAAACAAGGUAUUGGAAACUAGCGUUAAGGCCAUCCUUAUGUCCUUAUUAUAAGUGGCAAAGAACUUGGCUGAAUUGUGUCCAUGGCCCAGGGCUUUAUGGAAGGCAGAAUUUAAGAGCCAUGAACCAGGAUAUCUGAUGAAAGAAAUUUCUAAGCAAAAUAUUGAGGGUGCUGCAUGGCUUCUUUCAACUGAGCAUAGUAAAAUGUCAGAAAAGAGAAGUGAUUUAAAGAUGGAAUUUAUAAUUAAUUUAAAAGAAAGCAGAAUGCAACCACUUGGAAAAUUUGAAGCCUGGCCAUAUAAAACAUUAAAAAGCUUGCUUGGGAGAGAAUACCAAGGUCGUAGCCAAGGUACCCUUUGAUAAUGGGAUUAGUAUGGAUAGAAGGAAGACAAAUGCUAUUCAUCAAGACAAUGAGAGAACAACCCAAAGGCAUUGAGGAGAUCUUCCAGGCUGUCUUUCCCAUCUAGGACCUUAAGAGCAAAACCAGUGGUCCUGCCGCCUCUCUCAGGAACAUUAUAGACCCAUUCACCUUGGUGUCUACGUGGUGAUAACUCUGCAGACACAGAGUGCAUGACCUUGGUACUGUGGUGGCCUUCAUCUAUUUUUCAAAGGAUACCUCAGAGACCCCUGAGGCCCAGACUGAGAAUUGUCACAGGAGUGGAGCCACUGCAGAGUUCCCACCAGGGAAAUUCUUAGUGGAGCCAUGGGGGUAUGGCCACCCCUAAAGCCCAAGAACUAUAGAACCACCAGUAGGUGGUUCUGUAGCCCCAGGAAUUCAACUUGUGAUAGCAGCUACAUGAGCAGAGCCCAGCAAAGCCAUAGAGGUGGGCUGUCUGAGGCCUAGGGGGCCCAACCCCCACCCUAGUGUGUUCAGGAGGCAGGACAUGGAGUCCAGAAAGAUUAUUCUGGAGCCUUAUCAUUUAAUGUUGUUUAUUUCUUCCCCCUUUUGGAAUAAGAAUGUUCAUCUUUUACCUGUUCCACCUUGGUAUUUUGGAAGCAUGUAACAUGUUUUGAUUUCAUGGGCUCACAGCCAGAGAGGAAUUUACCUUAUUAUGAAUUGUACCUUAAGUCUCACCCAUAGAUGAUUUAGAUGAGACUUUGGACUUAGACUUUUGAGUUGAUGCUGGAAGGAGUUAAGACUUUGGGAGCCACUGAGAUGGAAACAAUGUAUAAAUUUUGAGGCCAAGGCAAGACGGGUCAAAGUCAAAGUGGUGGUCAUGGUUCUGGAGGUGGCAAGAAGGAUGACAAGGACAAGAAAAAGAAAUAUGAACCUCCUGUACCAACUAGAGUGGGGAAAAAGAAGAAGAAAACAAAGGGACCAGAUGCUGCCAGCAAAUCGCCACUGGUGACACUUCACAUUCAGUGCCGGUUGAAAUUACUGAAAUUAGAGAGAAUUGAAGACUACCUUCUUAUGGAGGAAGAAUUCAUUAGAAAUCAGGAACAAAUGAAACCAUUAGAAGAAAAGCAAGAGGAGGAAAGAUCAAAAAUGGAUGAUCUGAGGGGCACCCCGAUGUCAGUAGGAACCUUGGAAGAGAUCAUCAAUGACAAUCAUGCCAUCGUGUCUACGUCUGUGGACUCAGAAUACUACAUCAGCAUUCUGUCAUUUGUAGACAAGGGUCUGCUGGAACCUGGCUGCUCAGUCCUGCUCAACUACAAGGUGCAUGCUGUGAUAGGGGUGCUGAUGGCUGACACAAAUCCCCGGGUCACAGUGAUGAAGGUGGCAAAGGCCCCCCAGGAGACCUGUGCCGAUAUUGGGGGUUGGACAACCAAAUUCAGGAAAUUAAGGAAUCUGUGGAGCUUCCUCUCACCCACUCUGAAUAUUAUGAAGAGAUGGGUAUAAAGCUUCCUAAGGGGGUCAUUCUCUAUGGUCCACCUGACACAGGUAAAACCUUGUUAGCCAAAGCAGUAGCAAAUCUAACCUCAGCCACUUUUUUGAGAGUGGUUGGCUCUGAACUUAUUCAGAAGUACCUAGGUGAUGAGCCCAAACUCAUAUGGGAACUGUUUUGAGAUGCUGAAGAACAUGCACCGGCCAUUGUGUUUAUUGAUGAAAUUGACACCAUUGGGACAAAAAGAUAUGACUCAAAUUCUGGUGGUGAGAGAGAAAUUCAGCGAACAAUGUUGGAACUGUUGAACCAGUUGGAUGGAUUUGAUUCUAGGGGAGAUGUGAAAGUUAUCAUGGUCACAAACCGAGUAGAAACUUUUGAUCCAGCACUUAUCAGACCAGGCCACAUUGACAGGAAGAUCAAGUUCCCCCUGCCUGAUGAAUAGACUAAGAAGCACAUCUUUCAGAUUCACACAAGCAGGAUGACACUGGCCGAUGAUGUAAUCCUGAACGACUUGAUCAUGGCUAAAGAUGACCUCUCUGGUACUGACAUCAAGGCAAUCUGUACAGAAGCUCAUCUGAUGGCCUUAAGAGAACAUAGAAUGAAAGUAACAAAUGAAGACUUCAAAAAAUCUGAAGAAAAUGUUCUUUAUAAGAAACAGGAAGGCACCCCUGAGGGGCUCUAUCUCUAGUAAACCACAGCUGCCAUCAGGAAAAUGGGAGAUUUCUCCAUCUCUGAAAGGAAUGAGGUUGGAAGCUGCCCAGAGGAAUCCCUGUUCCCACUGGUUUUUAUUAGCAAAACAUCCUGUGUCUUUUGGAGUACAAUGUGUAAGUGCCCAUUGGGUGGCCUUCAGUCACUGUGCAGCAGUCUACUUCUCAAUAAAAAAAAAAAAAAAUUUUGAAAGGCUGGGAAUGGAAUACUUCAAAAAAAAAAUUUUUUUUCAAUAUUGCUCCUUGUGUAGAUGGGUAGAAUGCUAUGUUUUGAAUGGUUGUCCUUUCCAGAGUCAUGUUGAAAUUUAAUUGCCAUUGCAACAGUUUUGGGAGGUAGGAUAUUUAAUCAUUAAUUCGACUUUGAUGCCUCCACCCUCAUGAAUGAACUAAUGCUAUUAUUGCAGGAGUGGGUUUAUCCCACUCUUGUUCACUCCUGUCUCCUGCCUCUUUGCCCUUACACCCUCUCUUGGCCCUUUCACAAUACAACGCCUCCCACCGUGUUAUGAUGCAGCAAAAAGGCUCUCGCCAGAUGGUGGCAUCUUUAUAGAGGACUUUUCAGCCUCCAAAACUGUAAGCCAAAUCAUUUCUAUUCUUAAUAAAUUACUCAGUCUGUAGUAUUCUGUUAUAGCAGCACAAAACGGACUAAGACACUCAUCAGUUGUAACAAAUGUACCACACUAAUCCAAGAUGUUAAUAGAGGAAACUAUGGGGAGGGGUUGGGAGGUGAUGUGGAACCCUUUGGUAUUUUCUACUCAACUUUUCUGUAAACCUAAAACUGCCCUCCCAAAAUAGGCUUUUUUUAAAAAAAACAAAAUCUAAAAGAAAAAAAUAUAGUAGACAGAUAUAUGAUAUCACAAGUAUAGUAAAAUGUUAAUGGUGGAGGUGUAUGUGGAUGUCCCCGAUUAUACUCUGCUUUGUAUUUGACAUUUUUCAUAAUAAAUAUGGAAAAAGUCGCUGUGGGCAAUAUUAAAAGAAAGCUUAGCAUAGUGAGGUUCGGUUGAAUCCAUGGGACUUAAUUCUAACUCCAUUAUGGAUAUCUCAUAUGAUUCUACUAAAAAAUGUAAGUUGAUUUAACUACUUGAAUUACUUAUCUAAAUUGUGAAACCCUGUCUUCAGAAACUAGAAUCUAGAUAAAAUUACCUAUUGUUUGUGAUAUUAACAUGUAUUAUCCCAUCAGCAGAAGAAUCUGAGCAGUGCUUUGUAGUUUUUUAAAUAAUAUUGAUGACAUGGUAGUAGAAGCUGAACAGCUACUCCCUGGACUUUGUCAGUGUUCUUGUUAUGACUUAGCACUGUUUUAUUUACCAUCCAAAAACAUAUUUUUUAUUACUUGCUACAACAUGACAAUAAUUCCAGUUUUGAGUGGUGUGUAUUUCUCAUUAUGAAUCUAAAUACACAGAAUGUUUGCUCUGUUUUCAGUCACUAUGCUGUGUGAAAAUGGUGUAUUAAAAAUAGUAUGACAUA